rnacentral:misc_RNA from 1 species
UAGUAUAUUUUUUAUAAAUAUUUAAUAUAUUGUAUAAAAAUCUCCUAGGUAUAUAAUACUCUUCACUUCUCUAUGGAAAUAAGAGUAUUAACCAAUUAUCUUAUAUAUGUUAGAACGUCUGAAUAUUUUGGAAAGAUAACAAGAAUUUAAUACUUAGUUCAAAUUAAUAUUCUAAUAAAUAGUUUUUAUUACAGGUAUGCAAGCAUUUUUUAGUGAAAUUUUGCCCUAACGAACUCUUUAUAAAUACAAAAGCAGAUUUAGGACCUUGUAGUAAAAUACACGAUGAAAAUAUGAAGAAAGAAUACGAGCAAUCAAACCAUUACAUGAAAUCACAUUAUGAAGAUGAAUUUUUAAGAUUUUGUCAAGGCAUGCUAACUGAUGUGGAGAAGAGAAUUCGAAGAGCCAAACAAAGACUAGCACUAGGACAAAAAGAAGGAGGAGUAAGCAUGUUAAAUAAUGUGUCAUCAUCAACAGUUGCAAAAGACACAGAAGAAAGAAGUGAACAACUUACAGAAAAAAUUAAUGAUUUAUUAGCUCAAGUAGAACAGUUGGGUUGUGAAGGAAAAGUAGAAGAAGCACAAGGAAUAAUGAAACUUUGCGAUCAGUUAAAAGAAGAAAGAGAAGCUUUACAAAAAUCUUCAGAACCUAAUCAUUGGUUACAGCAACGUCAUGCAUCAAACGUUAAGCAAACAGCAGAAAUUGCAGUUGCUCAAGAGAAACAGAUGGAAGUUUGUGAAGUUUGUGGUGCCUUUUUGAUAGUUGGUGAUGCACAGCAACGAGUUGAUGAUCAUUUAAUGGGAAAACAGCAUGUUGGUUAUGCAAGAUUAAAAUCAGCAGUUGAAGAAAUUGUUCAUAAGAGAGAGAAGAAUAGAGAAGAAAGAGAGAAAGAAAGAGAAAGAGAGCGAGAAGAACGUCGAAAGCAACAACAGGAAGAAGAGAAACACAGACAAAACUAUCAUAGUAGAUUGGAUGAUCGAAAACGUGACAUGAGACGAAGUAGACGCUCAAGAAGUAGAAGUAGAGAAAGACGGAGAUCUAGAAGUCGAAGUCGAAGUAGAAAACAUAGAAGCAGAAGUAGAGAUAGAUCUUAUUAUAAUAGAAGAGGAUAUUAUAGAGAAAGAGAAAAAAUGAAAGAAAGAUAUAAAUAUAGAUCUAGAUCAAGAAGUCCUGAUCAAAGACGACGUGACAAUCACACUCGAUCACGUGAUUCAAAAUAUCGACGACAGUCUAGAAGUAGAUCUCCAGAAAUUAGCAGUGACAGAAGAAAAGGUAGUAGUAGAGAUCAUGAUAAAAGAAAGCACGAAGGAAGAAAUAGAGAGAGUCCAGAAAAUGGAGAAAAUAGUCCUGAGUUAUCUGAUGCAGAUUACAAAGAGAAGACAAGCAAAGGUGAAAAUUAUGUAAAUAGGACUUCUAAAGAUGGAUCAGAAGGUGAAUCAGAUUAGUGACAUCUAAUUUGUGUCUAUAAGAUAUUCAGGUGAGUGAUAUUGCUGAGCAUUUUGUUCCACUUCACUUAGGAACCUUUGUACCAGCUCGUAACCACAGAUUUUACUUUGAUCUUGGUGUACCGAAGAUGCUACAGUUGUUUUACAGUCCUAGCAAUGAUUACCUGGAGUCCCUUUUUCACAGGUGACCCUAUGUUUUGUAGGAUUAUACUUCUUAAUUGGUGCUGGGAGGGGCAACUGGUAUUUUUAAAUAUAAGUCAUUAGUGUUAGAUAUAACAGUUUAAUAAGUUAAUAUAUUGAGUUCCAUGGUCUGUUUAUCAUUUCCAUCCAUUCAUAACUAAAUAAUAUGAAUUUCAUUUACUUAAUUGAAUGGAUGAUGAUAUAUUGAUUGCUUUGAUUGGGUUUAUUAGGCCACUUAUAAAUAUAAAAAAUAAAUAUUAAGAUGUAUAAUUAUUCAAAUUAAUUUAAUAAUUAACAUAAAAAUAGUUGGUUAUUGAUCAGGAAAUUAUAUAAAAUUGUAUAUUAUUUUAAAAAGUUGUUUAAAUUUAAACAUGUAAUUUUCUUUUGAAGUUUAUUAUCCCAGUAUAGCAAUCUUAAUAUCAUUAUUCAAUGCAUUUUUGAGUGUACAUUAGAGUAUACAAUUCUAUUUUUGUAAAUAGUUAUAUGGUAUUUAUAUAUAGUAUAAAAAUUAUUUCAAAACAAACAUUUUUUUAAGUGUUAAAAUAAUUAGUCAUAAAUACAAUGCAAUCAUUUAUUAUGUAGAUUAAAGUUUAGACAAAUACUCAAAACAUUAAACAUACAGAUGAUUUAAAGUCAUAAAAUUGAUUUUACAUUUACAUUAUGAGCAUUCAUAAUGAUUAUAAAAUUAUAAUAAUGUAAAGUAUUUCAUUCACAGAUUCAUUGAUAUUUCAAUUCAUCAUCAUUUGAAAUGAUACUAUAUAUAAAAUUAAUGUGAUAAAUAUGAUUCCAGGUUUUUCAGUAAAUGAAUA